rnacentral:tRNA from 2 species
GGAGAGGUGCCCGAGAGGCCGAAGGGGGUUGCCUGCUAAGCAAUUGCACCGUUUUAGGUGCCGGGGGUUCGAAUCCCCCCUUCUCCG